GAUGAACGCUGGCGGCGUGCCUAAUACAUGCAAGUCGAGCGAAUGGAUUAAGAGCUUGCUCUUAUGAAGUUAGCGGCGGACGGGUGAGUAACACGUGGGUAACCUGCCCAUAAGACUGGGAUAACUCCGGGAAACCGGGGCUAAUACCGGAUAACAUUUUGAACCGCAUGGUUCGAAAUUGAAAGGCGGCUUCGGCUGUCACUUAUGGAUGGACCCGCGUCGCAUUAGCUAGUUGGUGAGGUAACGGCUCACCAAGGCAACGAGGCGUAGCCGACCUGAGAGGGUGAUCGGCCACACUGGGACUGAGACGCGGCCCAGACUCCUACGGGAGGCAGCAGUAGGGAAUCUUCCGCAAUGGACGAAAGUCUGACGGAGCAACGCCGCGUGAGUGAUGAAGGCUUUCGGGUCGUAAAACUCUGUUGUUAGGGAAGAACAAGUGCUAGUUGACUAAGCUGGCACCUUGACGGUACCUAACCAGAAAGCCACGGCUAACUACGUGCCAGCCGCCGCCGUAA
rnacentral:rRNA from 1 species